CUACGGGGCGCACCAGUGAGGAAUAUUGCACAAUGGGGGGAACCCUGAUGCAGCAACGCCGCGUGGAGGAUGACGCAUUUCGGUGUGUAAACUCCUUUUAUAUGUCAAGAAAAUGACGGUAGCAUAUGAAUAAGCACCGGCUAACUCCGUGCCAGCAGCCGCGGUAAUACGGAGGGUGCAAGCGUUACUCGGAAUCACUGGGCGUAAAGGACGCGUAGGCGGGCUUGUAAGUCAGGUGUGAAAUCCUACAGCUUAACUGUAGAACUGCACUUGAAACUACGAGCCUAGAGUAUGGGAGGGGCAGAUGGAAUUAGUGGUGUAGGGGUAAAAUCCGUAGAUAUCACUAGGAAUACCUAAAGCGAGGGCGAUCUGCUGGAACAUAACUGACGCUAAGGCGUGAAAGCGUGGGGAGCAAACAGGAUUAGAUACCCGAGUAGUC
rnacentral:rRNA from 1 species